UGACUAGUUCUCAAUUUUUGAAAUUAAAGGAAAUUUAGCUAUAUUUAAAAAAAAAGUUUUCUAUUUUCGUGUGAUUUGUUGGGAGGGAUUCCACCAAGCAAGUUUGUUUCCUUUUCAUUAAUUUAAACCACUGCUAGGGUUGCCCGUUGUAUGAGAAAAAUCAUGGAAAGGGCAUAGAAAAGGUAGAGAGGUUUUGGUGAGUUUUCUUGAGAUCCUAGAGAGAGAAAGUGAAGAUUUUUGGUUUAAUACACUUGGAAAAAUUAUGGGCUUCUGUGAGUGUUCUUUAGUGUCUAAGAACAACAUUGGACUUGACAAAAUUUAUGUUUUUGGAAGAUUUCGGAUCUAAGGGAACAUGAGAGGUUCUGGGAUUGUUUGAAGUGUUUAGAAAUCUUAGAGAGACCCUAAAAAGUGUUUUGGAUGGGAACAAACGGAUCAAAAAGUUGUGAAACAAAAUUAUGCAUUUUGACUACCAUUUUUUGUGGUACAACAGGGACGGGGAAGAAGGUGGCGAUCUGGCUACUUUGCUUUGAAUUUUUUGUGCUUCAGGGGUUGGUUGAGGAGCUGGGAUCUUUGGGAACAACUUCCAACCAGUUUGGGGUGUAAAAAUUAAGUGGAAAGAUGAGAUAGAAUCUGAUCGUCGACGAAGAAGUAGAAGAUUUCGACGAGCACGACUCAACCCUGCUACAUGAGCUAUAUUCUCAAGCAAAUAUCUUGUCUUGAAAAGAAUUUGGAUAUCAGAUUGGGUGUAGUCACCAUAGAAACUAAACCUGGUCUAACUGAAGAUGACAUGCAAAUCAUUAGAGAUUUGAUCGACUCUGCUAUAGUAGAUAGCAAUGUUCAGGGUGGUCUGAGAUGGCCCUUAGGGAAGAAUGUUUCUGGUGAUAAAUUUUAUGUAUGUUCAGUCAGGCACAUAACCCGUAAAGUAUACAAAAAUUCAUCGUUGAAGCUGAAGAUCAGAAGGACAUCUCUUGACUAUCCAAGAUGGGGAAAUGGAAUACAGAGUUUAACUUAUGUGCUUGCUGGGGUUGUUGCUGUUGAGGUCACUAGAGGUCCAACUAUUGACUUCGUUCCAUGAACAAUCUUCAAAUAAUCAGUUCCUAGUGUCACCUCCAGCUAUCCAACUUUGAACAGUUAACAGCUGCCACCUCAACCUCCAGGUCCACCUCCACAUCCAGUUAUGCCCCAAGGUCCACCUCCAGGUCCACUGCCAUACGCUUCGUCUUGGAGGCCUGAGUCCAGUUCGUCUGAAUUCCCUCUUGUGCAGAUUCAACAAGUGAAGUGCAAAAGAAAAUCUGAUUUGGAAGGCUUUGGUGUUCUUACAUUUGGAAGAUCAUGAAUUCCUACUUUUACUUUUGAAUAUGCAACUGUUUAAGAAUAUUUUGUUGACUAUUGUGAGAAUGUUUUGUUUAUGUUAAUUAGGUAGUGUUGAAUAUCUCAAGACUUUUAGAUUGUAUUUUAGAUAAUCUUGAAUGUAUUUUGACACAAUUAUUUGGUUAUAUGUGUUAUGAACCAUAUAAUUGGUACUCAAAAAUAUAUUUGUACAAUGUUAAGGGUGUCUUAAGUAUAUUAAAUGAAGUGGGUUUGAAUUAA